GAAAUGCGAUAAGUAAUGUGAAUUGCAGAAUUCAGUGAAUCAUCGAAUCUUUGAACGCACCUUGCGCUCCUUGGUAUUCCUUGGAGCAUGCCUGUUUGCGUAUCAUGAAAUCUUCAAAGUAAAUCUUUUGUUAACUCAAUUGGUUUCUACUUUGGUAUUGGAGGUCUUUGCAGCUUCACACCUGCUCCUCUUUGUUCAUUAGCUGGAUCUCAGUGUUAUGCUUGGUUCCACUCGGCGUGAUAAGUUAUCUAUCGCUGAGGACACUGUAAAAGGUGGCCAAGGUAAAUGCAGAUGAACCGCUUCUAAUAGUCCAUUGACUUGGACAAUACUUUUAUGAUCUGAUAUCAAAUCAGGUAGGACUACCCGCUGAACUUAAGC
rnacentral:misc_RNA from 1 species